GGCGGGGCGCGGGGUCCCCGGUCGCUGUCUUCCGCGGCAGGCGGCGGCGGCGGCGGCGGCGGCGGUGGGCGUCGGAGAUACUGUCAAGCUAAUACCAUGUCACUCCAGGACAGAGAUGUGUCUGUGGUGACUUUGACAGCCAUCAUCAUACCAAGAUCUCGCUGGGCGAUCCAGGGCCUUACGUGGCUAGCACGCUCUCAUCCGUGAGAGACACCCCUCCACCUCCCGGCGUUCACACUCUGAGGUGACUUCACAGAGAACAGCGAGGAAGCAUCGCGGUUACCAAACGCUUUCUCCUAAAGCUUGCUGCUUACUGGCUCUACCAGACCCUUUGGAUGGUACAGUUGGAGAGUCUGAUGACAGAAGCCUAUGAGCAAGUUUAAAACAGCAACCGCACAAAUGCACACGCUGUCCUCAGCAGGAUGGGCCCACGCUGUCCUCCGCAGGAUGGGCGAGCAUCACCCGGUCCACUGAGGAACUGGAUAAAACAAAAAGGCAGAACCAGGGUGAAUUCAGUCUUUUGCAGUCAAAAUGUCUGGGUUUUUUUUCCUCUGCCCUCACACAUUUGCACUUUUGAUUUUGGGAGGCUUCCAGACUCAAAUCAGGACUUAUAACACCAUUGGCUUCCCUGUUUCCCAAGCCUGCGUACUUGGACUUCAGUCUUCAAACUGAAUGACUGAGGUCCCUGACUGACCCUGGAAUUUACCCUAUUCAGCUAUGCUGGUUGGCCAGCAAUCUCCAGGUAACCUGCCAUCUCUACCUCCCCAGCACUGGAAUUUACAGUGUGAUAUGUCCCCUCAAUGAAUUAUAUAAAGAAAAUCGGGGUGGAAGCGGAUCAGGGAAAAAAAUUCUAUACCAAGCAAACUGAUGAAUUGCCCACAUUAUUUGGUGAGUGGAUCCCCCUCCCCCCGAAUCAGACACUGAUCAUAAUGGUCAAAACAAUCCUUAGGACUUUCUCUUAACUCGCUCAUUAUCAUUCAAUAUGUUCAAAAGAAUUAUUAAAUGCCGAAUAAUAUGGUGCACCUGGUUGAGAUGAUGGUGAGAGAUUUGGCUUCCUGUCACUUCGUUAAGGAUGAAUUCCACCCGAGGGCGUACUGUGAACUUGGCAAAUAGCAUUAUAAUAGUAAGAGAAUAUUGCCUAUUGGGUAUCAGGAGUUGAUGAUUAAAUUUAAGUGUGUACUGUCCGCAUAAAACAAAUAAUGCUCUUUUUUUUAAAGUUUUACUGUGAACAUUCAUCACCAGUGCUGAAGAUGCACAGUUGCUAAUUAUUGUGUUUUUAACUUGUAAUAUACUGUAAAUUUUGUAUAAUACUGCUAUGACCUUAUACAGAAUAGGAAAGAUGACAGGAGGCCUAUAAUUAUUGUAUGGGGAAGAAAUGCCUAUAAUUAUCUACUAUUUUUAGGACCAGCGUGCAUGGCCUCUUAAUUUACAUAAGCUUUAGACAUUCACACAUUUUCUGUCUUUGCCUGUGGAUGAUAAAUUUUUCUCAAAUGAAAUCAAGAAGAUAUACUGUUAUAUGAGAGUUAGCCAGCUGGGGGCUUGAUUACAGUGAACAAGCUUGUGUGCCAGCUUAAAAAAAAAAUAAGUGGGGGAGCAUUUAUCUGGAUGGGAUUUGUUUAAGGCAGGAUUCAAAACACACACACACACACAAAAAAAGAAAAGGAAAAGGAAAAAAAACCCCACCAUAUUACUAUAUUGGGGCCUGAUAAGGUGUGAUUAUUUUUUAGAGAAUGUUAAAGUUAAAUUAUCUUGUGGAAAGGCAUUAACCUAACAAAGAGAAAAUCUCUAGGAUAUUUAUCACAUGGAGGGUGAUUAUGACAGCAUGUUCUUAUUAGAGAUGAAUAUUUGGUGCUGAUUAAGGAGGGCUCCAGGCUGCCAGGCGUGCUACCGAGAAGGACUGCGCUUGUCCUGUGAGCUCCUGUGGCUAGCUAGGAGUGUCAUCCCAAGCUGAGGGGACUCUCUUAUAGACCCAGCCCUGGCAGGUCCCAUAUCCAAGCCGCUGGGCAAGUGGUUGGGACUGGGAGGUUCUCAAGUCAGACACUAUGAGAGAUAUAUUACAGGCUCUGUUGGCCCUCUGUUCUGCCUCACAGUGGGAAAGGACAUGAGUGGACUUGGCCCCUGAGGCUCUUACUGAGGGGUCCCACUUCAGGAAACCUGCUAAAUUUCAAACUUAAGUUCCCCACUUUAUGAUGGGAUUUUGCAGUAAAAGGAUUAAAAAUGGCUACCGCAAAAAUAGCCUGUUUCCCUAAAGCAUGUACUACGAAAGGUAUUAGGUGGGUUUUUAUGGUUGCGUGCAUUUUAGAAAAUGAUUAUUACUUUUGUUAUCCUAGAGAUUUCAAACAUACUGUUGCGAUGUAUUUUUUUACAAUUUGUUUUAUUUUUUGACUGGGAGAGUAUAUGUAUACGAACGCUGGUGCCCAUGGAGACUAGAUGCAUUGGAUUCCCCUGGAGCUAGAGUUACAGUAGGGUGUGAGCUGUCUUGUGUGGGUUCUAGGAACUGAGUCCGGGCCCUUUCAACUGCUUGUCCAUCUCUCCUACAAUUAUAAUUCAAUGGCUUGCAUUUUUAAGAAUGUCAUCUGAGGCAUAGUUUCUUCCAAGUCUUUCCCUCAACUGCCUAUUUUAAGAUAUAAAAUAUGCUUGAUAGGAAUAUAAAUAGCCAUAAGCAGGAACUUCUAAGUGGCAGAUGUUUAGAUGCACAUUAUGCCCAAGGUCUCUCUCUCUAUAUGUACCUUCCAUUUUGUUUGUUUGGAUGAGGACUCAAAGCUGCCUGAGCUACUGAACCGGGCUGUCUGUCUCUGCUCCUCUGGUGACUCCUUUUCAUUUGCGUGCCCAUUGUUUGCUGUGGAGACCCCGCCUGUUGGUCCGUGUGCGCUGUCGCCUGACAGACCUCAUCAGCUCUGUUACCAAAGGUCUGAGGAACUCGACCGAAACUCCACCGGCAAGCUCUUCCUUUGCAGCAGCCUGUUUUUGGAUUUUUCACAACCACAGGGAGCUCUGCGGGUUUUCACUGAUAUGCCGGAGUCUGGAUGUCUGCUUAUUGACUAGGUCCCCUAUACACACGUUCAGACGACCAUGCAGGAAUCCUAACUCCCUUCAAAUUUCACUUACCAUCAACUGCGCCAUCAUUCUUCUAACCUAGAUAGAGUUGGCUCCUUCCAACCUUGUCCCUAUUAAACCAUCUUUCUGGCGCCAAUUUUUUCUUCUUCUUUAAAUACAUACUCACCAACACACACACACACACACACACACACACACACAUACACCACACACCACAGUGCUUGACACAUAAUAAAACCAUAAAUCUGCAUGUCUGAAGGAAUGAGUAACGGAAUGUUGAAAGCUUGGGGGCAGAGCUGCCCUGUCAAGGUGACAUGGCCACUGCGGUCAGGUAGAUAUGGGUCUAGAACUCAGCUGCUCAUUAAUCUGUGCUCAAACCCAUGAGUGACCUUGAUUUCCUGUCUACAGCACAGUUCUUACUCACCCCAGCCUCAUGUAGUGAUUGUCAAAAUUUAGCAAUCUAGUGUGUGUAUGUGUGGGAGGGGGUGUUGCUGCUGGAGUUACAGGCAAGGACUGAACAGAGAAACACGUUGCCGCUCAUCAGGGAUCCGUUCUUUACCCGCUCUGGGCAGGCUAUGAGAGAAUAAGUACAGUUGCUUCUCAAAGUUACUAUAGGGCUUAACAGUCAUUAAGUAAAUCUUGAGUGUGAGUGUGUGAGUGUGUAUCUGUGUGUGUAAGUGUGUGUGAGUGUGUAUCUGUGUGUGUGAGUGUGUAUCUGUGUGUGUAAGUGUGUGUGAGUGUGUAUCUGUGUGUGUAAGUGUGUGUGAGUGUGUAUCUGUGUGUGUGUGUGUGAUGAAUCAUAUAUAUGAGUGCAGGGACCAGAGGCUGAUCUCGGGUGUCACUCCACAGGAGCCACCCACCUUUCUCUUUUUGUUUUGUUUUGUUUGAGACAAGGUCUCUCACUGAAACUUGGACUGAGCCAAGGCAGACGGACCAGCGAGCCCAUGGACCCUCCUGUCUCCACAUCCCCAUCACCGGGAUUAUGAGAGCACACUACCAGAUGACUCUUUAAAUGUUGAUUCUUGGGACAAAACCCAAGCCUUCAUGCUUACAAGGCUGACUGAACUCUCUCCCCAUCCCUAUAGGAAAGCUUGAAUAAAAGGUGGCACUAUU